GCGAACGGGUGAGUAAUACAUCGGAACGUGCCCAAUCGUGGGGGAUAACGCAGCGAAAGCUGUGCUAAUACCGCAUACGAUCUACGGAUGAAAGCAGGGGAUCGCAAGACCUUGCGCGAAUGGAGCGGCCGAUGGCAGAUUAGGUAGUUGGUGAGGUAAAGGCUCACCAAGCCUUCGAUCUGUAGCUGGUCUGAGAGGACGACCAGCCACACUGGGACUGAGACACGGCCCAGACUCCUACGGGAGGCAGCAGUGGGGAAUUUUGGACAAUGGGCGAAAGCCUGAUCCAGCCAUGCCGCGUGCAGGAUGAAGGCCUUCGGGUUGUAAACUGCUUUUGUACGGAACGAAACGGCCUUUUCUAAUAAAGAGGGCUAAUGACGGUACCGUAAGAAUAAGCACCGGCUAACUACGUGCCAGCAGCCGCGGUAAUACGUAGGGUGCAAGCGUUAAUCGGAAUUACUGGGCGUAAAGCGUGCGCAGGCGGUUAUGUAAGACAGUUGUGAAAUCCCCGGGCUCAACCUGGGAACUGCAUCUGUGACUGCAUAGCUAGAGUACGGUAGAGGGGGAUGGAAUUCCGCGUGUAGCAGUGAAAUGCGUAGAUAUGCGGAGGAACACCGAUGGCGAAGGCAAUCCCCUGGAC
rnacentral:rRNA from 1 species